CAAUGAUAAUGAUAUAUUUUCAUGUAGUACUAUGGUGUAUAAGUUGGGAUGAAGGGAGUGUAGAUUGUUUUCUCUUGCAGGCUGAUUGCAAACCUUCUCAAUAUUUACCAGUCAUUGUACUGGCAGCCAGUUUAAUCGCAUAUUCAUGGUAAGGGAAAGCAUAUUGGGCUUCAAAGAUACUUACAAAUUGCCUUUUUGUGAAUGUCAAGUUAUUUUGCCUCAGAAUUAAAAAAAAAAGUCUUAACCCUAUGAGAUCGAGCUGGACACCCAACUUUCCAAACUCCAGGAAUGCUAAUAUUAAAAUUUGAAAUUAAAUGAAAACCAAAUCUUUAAACCUUAUGAAAUCAUCAAGUUUCAUCUUGAAAGCUAUCUCAAAUGUCUAAAGUUCAAAACUUGUAGAUUGUACUGGUGUGACUGAAAAACUUUUUUUUUGCAGCAGCAGAUUUUUGCUUCAAUGUUCAAACUCUGGAGCAGAGGAACAUAAGGCAUAGUACCAGAUUUGGGCAUUUUAUAUAUCCUCUAGUGAAAAUUGCUUAUAUAACUUGAACACGCAGUUCAUGCCUUGCAGUAUCAUCCUGACUCUGAGGAUUCACCAUGGCUGCUGGCUCCCAAAACCAGGCUGUUCCAUAUUGGCUGUUUAAAUGUCUAAAGUAUAUUUAUUAAAAAAACCCAAACAAACAAACUACAUGGGCAGGUGGUUGCUUACCUGGAAAUAACUCUGUGUUUACAGAGUUAUUAUUUACAGGUUUGAGGGACCUUAUAAUUUACUACAAUUUAUUUCUUUCAUGAGCUGGUAGGUACAAAAAAGGCUUCUUCUUCUUUUUCCAGCUGCAAUAUAAUGAAGUGGCACACAUCAAAAUCUGCAUUUCCACUGCAUACAAGGAGCAAGCUUUGCUGUACACAGGGUUCAGCUGUCAUGGAAGAAAGACAGGAUUGAAGUGACCACACACCAUUUUUUUAUUCUCUCCCUCAGUCUCUGCCAGAUCUGGUGCAUUCUCUUUAUAAGAAACUGCUAUUACAGUAGGGUGUCACUUCAAUCCCUGUUCACAGGUGUUACUUCACAGUUUUUGGUUGUUUUUUUUCACCAUGAGAUAAUUAAAACAUAAGAACAGAUAAUUUUGGGAUGGUUAAGUAAAGCCUUUGAGCUCUUUGUACUUCUGUACAAAUUUCCAGGUAAAUUUUUCAGUGCAGAAAUCUGUUCUUGCCCAGGGGUCAUACUCCAGUUCCUGCAGUCUCUGGGUCAGAGUGCUUUUUCUGACUUCAUCCCACCAAGGAAAGCAUGAGUUGUCUCAGUAGUGUUCAUGCCUGCCAUGAAUCUCUUAUUCCAAGGUCCCAUGUUUCUACACUUAGGGCUGUGAGCUCUGAAUAUAUUGCAAUGAAGGACCUGAAGCUGCCUAGGAUCACAAAGUCAUGCCUUGCAAGCUUUGAAAUGCCUCCCAAAGGGUACUACAAGGAUCCUUGUAAGUACUGUCCUACUACUGUCCCUCUUUGAGCAGGAUGGAGUCAUCUCUGGUUUUAUUACUCUCCUUUUGAGGAAAUAGGUACAGUCAUUGUGUGGAAAGACUGGAAGCUGGGAUCUUAUGAUCUAAAAGGACAAUCUGCAUGAAAUUCUUGAAAGUUUUUCCCAAAGAACUCCUCGAGGCCAGCGUGUAAUUUUGGAAAGAUUCAGUCCCUUCUGUCACGGUGUGACUCAGGCUUCAAGAUGCUUUGCAGCAGCAAUGGCCCGACUAGCCAAAUGAGUAAAUGGGAGUUUUUCUUCGAACAGUGGAGCUCACCUGAUAAUUUUGAAGCAUUUGGACAGUUUUGUUGCAAGUUGCUAUUUUCAAGCUCAGUAGGAGGAUAUAAAAUACAUGACUGAUACAUAACUCUUAGCGUGAGGCACCAGAAACAAGUCAAGAAGGCAAAAUGGAGAGCUAAC